GACUUCCCAUCAAGCUUAUGGCACUUUCUUCAAGCUUCUAGAUUUUUCUAUAUUUUUGAGCACAAAUGUGCAUUAAUUUCAACACCAAAACAAAGAGCCAAUUAGCUAGGUAUGAAAACGUACACCAAGAAGUCUGAAUGGGGCCCAAGGUGGCAACUUCUUCACCACAUGCAUCCAUCCUGAUUCAUUCAUAGUUUUGACUUCAUGCUGUACAAUAUGUGACCUCAGAACAAGAGCAAGAAACUUAAUAGCAGACUGUUGAAAUGAGAUAUUAGAUUUAGAUAGAGCUAGAGAGGAAAAACUAUACGAAAAAUAUGAGUAGUUUGGGAGGCCUAGUUAUCAUUCUUUCAAGCUUUCUGUGUGUGUUUCUUCUUCUCUUAUCUUUCCUCAACAUCUUUUACAAACUAUGGUGGGCUCCAACUCGCAUACAGAAGCUGAUGGCUUUGCAGGGAAUCAAAGGCCCUUCCUACAGACCUAUCCAUGGAAACACCAAGGAAAUCUUGAACAUGAAAAGGGAAAUUAUUGGCAGGCCCAUGAGUUUAUCCCAUGACAUAGUAUCUGCAGUUCGACCUCAUGUUCAUUCGUGGACCAAGAUAUAUGGGAUGAAUUUUCUUCAGUGGUAUGGUUCUCAAGCUCAGUUGGUCAUUAUGGAACCCGAGUUGUGCAAAGAGAUACUGAAUAACAAAGAUGGAGCUUUUGCAAAAAGGAAGCCCCAAAGCUAUGUCAAGAAACUUUUAGGAGAUGGUCUUGGGACAACCGACGGUGAAAAAUGGGGAAAAUUGCGAAAGCUGGCUAACCAUGCCUUCCAUGCAGAGAGCUUAAAAAGCAUGGUUCCAGAAAUGGUAGCUAGUGCCGAGACGAUGCUAGAGGGGUGGAAAAACAGUGAAGGAAAAGAGAUUGAGGUGUUCGAACCAUUUAGGAUGUUCACUUCUGAAGUGAUUUCAAGGACUGCUUUUGGCAGCAGCUACUUGGAAGGACAGAACUUUUUUGAGAAUUUAAUGAAGUUAUCCUUUUUAAUAUUCAAAAAUGCUCUCACUGUCAGAUUUCCUGGAAUCAGUAAGUUUUUUAAAACUAGCGAUGAGAUCGAAUCAGAGAAGCUUGAGAAAGGAAUGCACGACUCCAUAAUAGAGAUUGUUGAGAAAAGAGAACAGAAGGCAAUGGAUGGAGAAGACAGCUUUGGGAGUGAUUUUCUUGGAUUACUUUUAAAAGCUCAUCAUGAUACCAAUGACAGCCAGAGAAUUUCGGUUGAUGAUUUGGUUGACGAGUGCAAGACAUUUUACUUUGCCGGACAAGAAACCACUAAUAGUAUGCUUGCAUGGACUGUGUUUCUCCUGGCACUUAAUACAGAUUGGCAGGAGGAAGCAAGAAAGGAGGUCCUGCAAUUAUUUGGUAGACAAAAUCCAAAUCCUGACGGCCUUUCCAAGUUAAAAACUAUGAGUAUGAUCAUCAAUGAGUCUUUAAGGUUAUAUCCUCCUGUUGUUUCCGUGGAGAGGAAGGUCAGAAGGGAAGUUAAACUGGGGAAGCUCAUUGUUCCUGCUAAUGUUGAAUUGAUAAUCCCAAUUCUAGCAAUCCAUCAUGAGCCUGAAUUUUGGGGGGAAGACGUGCAACUUUUCAAACCAGAGCGAUUCGCGGAAGGGGUUGCUAAAGCUACUAACAAUAACAUAGCUGCAUUCUUACCCUUUGGAAUGGGACCCCGGACAUGUGUGGGCUUCAACUUUGCGAUCACAGAAGCAAAGAUUUCUCUGUCAAUGAUUCUCCAACGCUACACCUCCACUCCCCGUAUGAGUAUCUUACAGUUCGUCCACAACAUGGGGUUCAGGUUGUGCUGCACUCUCUGUGAACUGUCAAAAAGUACCACUAGAAUUGCCCAUAAUCUUGAUCUUGGUGUUUAUAGUAUAUAAUAUACCGGGCAAGAUAGCUUAAAUAAUAUACAGGGCAACCUCUGUUUGAGGCCCUGUUAUAAGGUGGCAGUGGCACUAUAGCUCCCUCUUUCUCUUUUUCCUUUUUUUUUUUUUCGCUGCUUUGCUGCUUGUAAUUACGCUUCUUGUAGAACCAUUUGUUGUGUGGUUUUUCGUUUGUUUUGUUCUUUUGGCUUGUUUUUAGUUCUUUGAUUUGGUGUGUCUGUUCUGUUGGUUUGGUUGGGUUUGGCUCCCUUUUGGGCUUUUGCCGGUUGGCCUUUAUGAUAUCUUUGUUGACCAAAAAAACAAAAAUCAU